ACGCCGCCCUGCACCCACCACGUACUUCUUCCUGGGGGACCUGUCUGCCGAGGAGGCGGCCUACGCGCCAGUGCUGACUCCGCGCGUGCUGGCCGGCCUCCUCCUGCCGCCUGGGGGCCGCCCAGAUGGGCCUCUUUGUGGCUCCGGCUGCCUGCUGCUGGGCCACUACCCGGCUGUCUGCCGCCCUCAGCUCACGACUGCGGGGCUCUGCUGGUGCCUUCUCGCCGCCUGCUGCGUUGGGGGCUCUCUCCUGGCCUUGGGCCUCACCACGGCCAUCUUCCAGCUGCCCUUCCGCCGUGGGGGCUUAGUCAACCACGUCUUCCGCGACCUCCCGGCCGUGUUGGUGUUGGCCUGCGGGAACCGGGACCUGCAGGAGCACGUCCUGCUGGCGGCCUGCGUGCUGCUGGCGGUGCUGCCUCUGGCCCUGAUCCUUCUCCUACGCCAGGGCGGUGCUGGUCAUCCUGGGGCAUUGCUGGGGCUGCGGGCCACCGCAAGGCCUUCAACACGGUGGCGUCCCAUCUCACGGUGGCCUGGCCAUGCUCCACGACGGCUGCGCCACGGCCGUGUACGCCAGGCCACCGAGCAGCCACUCCCUGGAGGAGGACAGGCUGGUCUCAUUCAUCUACAUCAACCUCACUUCCCCGCUCUACCCGGCCAUCUACACGCUGCGGAACCGGGACAUGCAGGGGGCACUGCAGCGGGUGGUCGGCCCCAGGACACCAGGCGCCGUCCACCAGGCUGAUGUCACCGAAUGCUGGAUGCCAGGUGGAGUCUGUUCUGAAAUCUCUCCACCACCCCCGGAUGGAAACCUCACAUUCCAGAACCAUCUGUGACUCCCCGAAGCCUACUGGACACAACCUGGGUGCAGCAGACAAGGACUCCAAAAUCAGACUCCAGCCUGCUGCUUCCGCAUCUAGUGACUUUUUUUUUUUUUUUAUGUGGACCGUUUUUAAAGUCUGUAUUGAGUUUGUUACAGCAUUGCUUCUGUUUUAUGUUUUUGGUUUUUUGGCCGUGAGCUAUGUGGGAUCUUAG
rnacentral:lncRNA from 1 species